rnacentral:tRNA from 1 species
GGCUGGCUGGCUCAGUUGGUAGAGCUCAUGACUCUUGAUCUUGGGGUUGUGAGUUUGAGCCCCAUGUUGGAUG